rnacentral:tRNA from 1 species
UGCCCGGUGGUGUAAUCGGCAACACACCAGGUUUUGAUCCUGGCGUUCCAGGUUCGAGUCCUGGCCGGGUAA